rnacentral:rRNA from 1 species
UACGUAGGGUGCAAGCGUUGUCCGGAAUUACUGGGCGUAAAGCGUGCGCAGGCGGUGAUGUAAGACAGAUGUGAAAUCCCCGGGCUCAACCUGGGAACUGCAUUUGUGACUGCAUCGCUGGAGUACGGCAGAGGGGGAUGGAAUUCCGCGUGUAGCAGUGAAAUGCGUAGAUAUGCGGAGGAACACCGAUGGCGAAGGCAAUCCCCUGGGCCUGCACUGACGCUCAUGCACGAAAGCGUGGGGAGCAAACAGG